rnacentral:rRNA from 1 species
UACGUAGGGUGCGAGCGUUAAUCGGAAUUACUGGGCGUAAAGCGUGCGCAGGCGGUUUUGUAAGCCAGAUGUGAAAUCCCCGGGCUUAACCUGGGAACUGCGCUUGUAACUGGCAAGCUAGAGUGUGGCAGAGGGGGGUGGAAUUCCACGUGUAGCAGUGAAAUGCGUAGAGAUGUGGAGGAACACCGAUGGCGAAGGCAGCCCCCUGGGCUAACACUGACGCUCAUGCACGAAAGCGUGGGGAGCAAACAGG